GUGGGGAAUAUUGCGCAAUGGGGGAAACCCUGACGCAGCGACGCCGUGUGAGGGAAGAAGGCUUUCGGGUCGUAAACCUCUGUCAGAAAGGAAGAACCUCCCAAGUCCGAAUAGGGCUUGGGACUGACGGUACUUUCAAAGGAAGCACCGGCUAACUCCGUGCCAGCAGCCGCGGUAAUACGGAGGGUGCAAGCGUUAAUCGGAAUCACUGGGCGUAAAGCGAGCGUAGGCCGCUUUGUAAGUCGGACGUGAAAGCCCUCGGCUCAACCGGGGAACUGCGUUCGAUACUGCGAGGCUUGAGUCCUGGAGAGGGUGGCGGAAUUCCGGGUGUAGGAGUGAAAUCCGUAGAUAUCCGGAGGAACACCGGUGGCGAAGGCGGCCACCUGGACAGGUACUGACGCUGAGGCGCGAAAGCGUGGGGAGCAAACAGGAUUAGAAACCCGAGUAGUCC
rnacentral:rRNA from 1 species